UACACUCCUGCGGGAGGCAGCAGUGGGGAAUUUUGGACAAUGGGCGAAAGCCUGAUCCAGCAAUGCCGCGUGAGUGAAGAAGGCCUUCGGGUUGUAAAGCUCUUUUGUCAGGGAAGAAACGGUGAGAGCUAAUAUCUUUUGCUAAUGACGGUACCUGAAGAAUAAGCACCGGCUAACUACGUGCCAGCAGCCGCGGUAAUACGUAGGGUGCAAGCGUUAAUCGGAAUUACUGGGCGUAAAGCGUGCGCAGGCGGUUUUGUAAGUCUGAUGUGAAAUCCCCGGGCUCAACCUGGGAAUUGCAUUGGAGACUGCAAGGCUAGAAUCUGGCAGAGGGGGGUAGAAUUCCACGUGUAGCAGUGAAAUGCGUAGAUAUGUGGAGGAACACCGAUGGCGAAGGCAGCCCCCUGGGUCAAGAUUGACGCUCAUGCACGAAAGCGUGGGGAGCAAACAGGAUUAGAAACCCUAGUAGUCCCAUGA
rnacentral:rRNA from 1 species